rnacentral:rRNA from 1 species
UACGGAGGAUGCGAGCGUUAUCCGGAUUUAUUGGGUUUAAAGGGUGCGUAGGCGGACAGAUAAGUCAGCGGUAAAAUUGCGGAGCUCAACUCCGUAGAGCCGUUGAAACUGUCUGACUAGAGUGAGCGAGAAGUAUGCGGAAUGCGUGGUGUAGCGGUGAAAUGCAUAGAUAUCACGCAGAACUCCGAUUGCGAAGGCAGCAUACCGGCGCUCAACUGACGCUGAGGCACGAAAGUGCGGGGAUCAAACAGG